rnacentral:rRNA from 1 species
AUUUUCGGGUGACCGCUGGCGGCGUUGCCUAACACAUGAAAGUCGAGCGAGAAUUUGUGGAAUGCGGGCUUCUGCCCAAAUGAAAUGAAGGAAAGCGGCGGACGGGUGAGUAACGCGUGGGUAACCUGCCCCAUACAAUGGGAUAGCCACUGGAAACGGUGAUUAAUACCAUAUGAAGCUUCAUGGCCGCAUGGCUGAGAAGUUAAAGAUUUAUCGGUAUGGGAUGGACCCGCGUCUGAUUAGCUAGUUGGUGAGGUAACGGCUCACCAAGGCGACGAUCAGUAGCCGACCUGAGAGGGUGAUCGGCCACACUGGAACUGAGACACGGUCCAGACUCCUACGGGAGGCAGCAGUGGGGAAUAUUGCACAAUGGGCGCAAGCCUGAUGCAGCAACGCCGUGUGAGUGAAGAAGGCCUUCGGGUCGUAAAACUCUGUCCUAUGGGAAGAAAAAAAUGACGGUACCAUAGGAGGAAGCCCCGGCUAACUACGUGCCAGCAGCCGCGGUAAUACGUAGGGGGCAAGCGUUAUCCGGAAUCACUGGGCGUAAAGGGUGCGUAGGCGGCUAAGCAAGCCAGGGGUGAAAGGCAUUGGCUCAACCAAUGUAAGCCUUUUGGAACUGUUUGGCUUGAGUGCAGGAGAGGUAAGUGGAAUUCCUAGUGUAGAGGUGAAAUUCGUAGAUAUUAGGAGGAACACCAUGGCGAANGCGACUUUACUGGAACUGU